CACGCCGUAAACGAUGAGUACUAGGUGUAGGGGGUAUCGACCCCCCCUGUGCCGCAGUAAACACAAUAAGUACUCCGCCUGGGAAGUACGAUCGCAAGAUUAAAACUCAAAGGAAUUGACGGGGACCCGCACAAGCAGCGGAGCAUGUGGUUUAAUUCGAAGCAACGCGAAGAACCUUACCUAGACUUGACAUCUCCUGAAUUACUCGUAACGGAGGAAGCCCUUCGGGGCAGGAAGACAGGUGG
rnacentral:rRNA from 1 species